GACGAACCGUGCGAACGUUGUUCGGAAUCACUGGGCUUAAAGGGCGCGUAGGCGGUUCAUCAAGUCCGGGGUGAAAUCUUUCGGCUCAACCGGAAAAGUGCCUUGGAUACUGGUGGACUGGAGGGAGGUAGGGGCAGAUGGAACUUCCGGUGGAGCGGUGAAAUGCGUUGAUAUCGGAAGGAACGCCGGUGGCGAAAGCGAUCUGCUGGCCCUCUUCUGACGCUGAGGCGCGAAAGCUAGGGGAGCAGACGGG
rnacentral:rRNA from 1 species